ACGCUCGACACCUACGGAGGCAGCAGUGGGGGAUAUUGCACAAUGGGGGAAACCCUGAUGCAGCAACGCCGCGUGAGGGAAGAAGGUUUUCGGAUUGUAAACCUCUGUCCCCGGGGAAGAUAAUGACGGUACCCGGGGAGGAAGCUCCGGCUAACUACGUGCCAGUAGCCGCGGUAAUCUGAGCGGGCUGGCAAGGC
rnacentral:rRNA from 1 species